rnacentral:rRNA from 1 species
CUACGGGACGCAGCAGUUAAGAAUCUUCUACAAUGCACGCAAGUGUGAUAGAGCGAGCCAAAGUGCUUUACAUUGUAAAGCUUUUGCCAAAUGUAAAAAGUUUGGCGAAUAAGGACUGGGUAAGACGGGUGCCAGCCGCCGCGGUAAUACCCGCGGUCCAAGUCGCAGCCAUUUUUAUUGGGUAUAAAACAUCCGUAGCUUGCUUAAUAAGUUUCUUGUGAAAUCCUAUGUCUUAAGCAUGGGGCGGGCAAGAAGUACUGUUAGGCUAGAGACUGGAAGACGCAAGAAGUAUGUCUAAUGUAGUGGUGAAAUACUUUAAUCUUAGGCAGACUCACAAUAGCGAAGGCAUCUUGCGAGGACAGUUCUGACAGUAAGGGAUGAAGGCUAGGGGCGCAAAGGGGAUUAGAUACCCCCGUAGUC